rnacentral:rRNA from 1 species
UUCUUCCUACGGGAGGCAGCAGUGAGGAAUAUUGGUCAAUGGGAGAGAUCCUGAACCAGCCAAGCCGCGUGAGGGAAGACGGCCCUAUGGGUCGUAAACCUCUUUUGUCGGAGAACAAAACCCGGGACGUGUCCCGGACUGCGUGUAUCCGAAGAAAAAGCAUCGGCUAACUCCGUGCCAGCAGCCGCGGUAAUACGGAGGAUGCGAGCGUUAUCCGGAUUUAUUGGGUUUAAAGGGUGCGUAGGCGGGACGGUAAGUCAGCGGUAAAAAUGCGGAGCUCAACUCCGUCGAGCCGUUGAAACUGG